rnacentral:rRNA from 1 species
AUUGAACGCUGGCGGAAUGCUUUACACAUGCAAGUCGAGCGGCAGCGCGGGGCAACCUGGCGGCGAGCGGCGAACGGGUGAGUAAUACAUCGGAACGUGCCCAGACGUGGGGGAUAACUACUCGAAAGAGUAGCUAAUACCGCAUAUGAUCUAAGGAUGAAAGCGGGGGAUCGCAAGACCUCGCGCAUUUGGAGCGGCCGAGGGCAGAUUAGGUAGUUGGUGGGGUAAAGGCUUACCAAGCCCGCGAUCUGUAGCUGGUCUGAGAGGACGACCAGCCACACUGGGACUGAGACACGGCCCAGCCUCCUGCGGGAGGCAGCAGUGGGGAAUUUUGGACAAUGGGCGAAAGCCUGAUCCAGCCAUUCCGCGUGCAGGAUGAAGGCCCUCGGGUUGUAAACUGCUUUUGUACAGAACGAAAAAGCUCUGGUUAAUACCUGGAGCCCAUGACGGUACUGUAAGAAUAAGCACCGGCUAACUACGUGCCAGCCGCCGCGGUAA